AUGAAACAGUCAGAGAGACUCUGAAGGAAAGAAUUCCAUCAACAGAUCUGUUGGCAAUUCUACGAGGCUUAUGGGAGGACGCAACUUCCAUCGACGAAGUUAUACCAGAGGCAGUGCUGCCAGCUUUUUCCUUGGAGACUACCCGAGACAUUAUUAAGCAACACAUAGCAACUGCCUUUCUUCAUCUUCAAACUGAAAUAUCAGAUGUACUGGUCACACACUCAACAUCAAAUGAGAAGU